AAGAAGGGUAAUAUCAUUAUUUUUUAUUUAUAACUACUCAAUUUAAUUCUUAUUCCAUCUUACUAAACCAAAUGCUAUUUUUCUUAUUACUAGGAAUAACCUAAUUUUCAUCCAAACGCAAAAUUAUCUAAUCCCCGCUUAUACCUUAAUUUAUACCUAUUCCUGAAAUAGCCACUUUUUGCUUAUUCCCGAACCAAACGAUACCUUAAAAGUGUAUAUAUAUAUAUAUAUAUAGAGAGAGAGAGAGAGAGAGAGAGAGAGUGGGCUGGUAUGCUUAUGGAAGUACGGAGGCCUCCAUGCUUCCAAGUUGUUUUCGAUGUUCGGACUUUCGAAUCGACGAUCGGCUCCGUUAGAGUUGAUCUAGAGUAUCUGAAGUAGCUAGAAAAUAAAUUUUGUGAUUUUUCGAUAUCAUUUGCCUAGUGAUCGAAGGGGCUCAAAAUCAAUAAUUUUAAUGGUCGUGGUGAGCCGGUUGCAAGUUUAACGGCGUAGAAAUAUCCAAAUCACAUGAAAUUUUGAUAAAAAAUUCUUUAUACUAUAUAAAAUAAGAUCAAUAUCUUUGAUCUAAAUUUUAAUGUCAUAUCAUCACAUUCUCCGUGCUUUCAUAAACAUACUAGCCGCACACUCUCUCUCUCUCUCUCUAUAUAUAUAUAUAUAUACUAGGCUUUGGCUUAAAAAUGCCAGCACUCUACCUUAUUACGGGAGACCAGAUUGGGCUGAGUCGGGAGACCAGAUUGGGCGAAGUCACAUUCGAAUUGGCAUGAGGUCAGGUUGGGACAAGUCAUGUUCGAAAUGACGUGAGAUCGGUUUGACCAAAUCACAAUUAAGAUUCGUAGAUACUGUGUCUAUAGGCUGUAAAUUAAUUAGUUGCGUAUUUCUAAUAGUUCGAGUUUUUGAGAUUAUUAAUAGUUAGCGACAGCAAUCCGACAAGUGGUAUCAAAGGUAAAGUUCAUGGGUUCGAUUUUCGCAUGUUGCGAAUUUGUGUUAGUAUUGAGAAAAAUUAUUGGUUUAAAAGGGCCAAGGGUUGUUCUGAUGUGGUGCAUCUGGUGUAAGCAACAAUUCCUCGUGCGUGGCGCGCGAGCAGCGUUUGAUUGGUUACGUAGAGCUCCUAAUAAUCCGUGAUUAAUUCUAGUCUCGGCAUAAACCUCUGUGGAGAAAGUAUUGUAUACACCGGCACGAAUUGUAGCCAAACAGCAGAAGAACAGCAGGGAACGGGUUAUUCCGAUCAAAGCGUAUUGUUCUGGAUUGUUCUGGAACAACACGUUAAAAAUUAUUCAUAGGAAACUGAGAACAACUUUAUUCUUCUAUUUAUUUUAUUAGAUAAAUAGAUAUAUAAAUAAAUAUAUUAAUAUAAAUAUUAUUUUUAUGAUAAUAUAUUUAAACUUAAAUUUUAUUAUAUAAUAUAAAUUAAUUAAAUUUGAUAUAUUAUUUAUUUUAUUAAGUUUUAUUAUUUAUAUAUUAAUAUUUAAUUAUAAUAAUUAUUUUUUCAUGCAUUAUAUAUAUUUUUUAAUUUGUAUUGAAAUUUAUAUUAUUAUUAAUUAAAAUAAUAAAGAUAUCGUUACAUAUAAAUUAUUAUUAUAUAUAGUAAAAUAAAUAUAUUAUUUGAAAAUAAAUUGUUACAUAAAAUAUUAUAUUAUAAAUUACUAUAGAAAUAAUUUUAUAUAAAAUAUACUUAUACAAAUUAAUUAUUUUAUUUUUAAAAUAUAUUUAGACAUUAUUCUAUACUUUUUAUCCAAACGCUACUAAGGAUAUCCUCUAGAAUAUCUCCGAAUGCAUUCAAACAUAAAUUUAUAAUUAUUCUAUCUUAUACCGGAAUAUCUCCUGUUCUCAGGAACAAUAAAAAUUGUUCUUCAAAAUAUAGUUCUCCAACCAAACGCAGCUCGAGCGUAUAGUUACAUCGCACACACAUCACUUAUUAAUGUCCUAAAAUCAAAAUAAAAUUAAUUAAAUAUAAUUAAUAUAUUUAAA
rnacentral:lncRNA from 1 species